CACUUUGCCUAUAUGGUAAAUGUGAGAUGCAGUGUAUGGAAUAUCAAAUUUCUAGUAUGAUAUAUUGACGAUUUAAGUCCUUCUUAAAUGAGGCCAUUUACCCAUAGAGGGUGCUAGGCCCGUAUAACGUUAAUGAUUACUAGAUGAUAUUUCCAAAGAGUCGUGUUGCUUGAUAGUGCAGCACUAAGUGGGUGGUAAACUCCAUCUAAAACUAAAUAUAACCAUGAGACCGAUAGUAAACAAGUACCGUGAGGGAAAGUUGAAAAGAACUCUGAAUAGAGAGUUAAAUAGUACGUGAAACUGCUUAGAGGUUAAGCCCGAUGAACCUGAAUAUCCAAUUAUAGAAAAUUCAUCAUCAUGAUAAUAAUAUUUAUUACAUAUUAUUUAUAAUGGUGUGCAUUUUUUCUAUUAAGGACAUUGUAAUCUAUUAAUAUAAAAAUUAUAUAUUUAUCAUAAGAUCAUAAUGCUUAAAAGAUUAUUUAAAUUAUUUUGCUUGCAAUAUAACAUAGAAUAAAAGCAUUUGAUUUGAUAAAGUGUUGAUAGAUUUAUAAAAUAUGGUGCUUAAAUAUAAAUUAAUGUAUUUUAUAAUAGCAUAUAUAAAUAAUUAAAUUUAUUAUGUUUAUUAUAUGCACUAUAUAUGAUUAACAAUGCGAAAGAUUCAGGAUACCUUCGGGACCCGUCUUGAAACACGGACCAAGGAGUCUAACAUAUUUGCAAGUUAUUGGGAAUAAAAACCUAAUAGCGUAAUUAAUAUAACUUUAUAUAUAUGGGAUUAGUUUUAGUCUAUUUUUUUAAAAUAGCCUAUUAAUUCAAUCCCGGGGCGUUCUAUCCCGUUAUGUAUAAUAAUAUAUUCAUAUUAUUUAUACCUCUAACUUGAGCGUACCUUGAGCAUAUAUGCUGUGACCCGAAAGAUGGUGAACUAUACUUGAUCAGGUUGAAGUCAGGGGAAACCCUGAUGGAAGACCGAAACAGUUCUGACGUGCAAAUCGAUUGUCAGAAUUGCA
rnacentral:rRNA from 1 species